AAAACUGUAUAAUGUAUUCCAUUUUCAGAAAAUAAUGAUCCUGGCCUUACAAUCCCAGACCUUCCUGUUGGAAGUGAGACAAACUCUUGGGAAGAAAGGAAAUUUUGCAGGAUAAAGGAUUUGAAGGUGAUAAUGAGCCAGUGCCAAAGAAGGCAAAAUAUGACAAGAAAACAGAGGAUGACAUAUAUCAAACUUGUUGAACAACAGACUGCAAUUAUGACAGAAUUGAAUUCAACAUUAAAAACAUUAAAUCAGUCUUUAGAUGGCAUAAAAAAAAGAUUAGACAAACUUAUUUAAAAUUCUAACACGACAUGUAUGUUUCCCUUAUGAACUCAGAAGAACCGAAAUUGUGUGUUAUAAUGGUCAUAAAAUCAAUGUUGACAUUCUUAAUUUAGACAUUUGAUGAAACCAUUAAAAAAUUUUACGAGCUGA